rnacentral:snoRNA from 1 species
AUUCCAUGAUGGGGAGAUUCUAGGAUGUAGUCUUGGAAGCGCUCCCAUGCUUCUUGAACGGAUUCGUCAUGUUGUUGAUGAAAACUUGUAAUCUUCCCACGGAGAGC